CUCGAUCGACCACGGAUUCACAACAAAAUCCAACCUUCUUCCAAUAGAAGGAAACACACACACAAAUACAUAUAAAAUAUGUAUUUUUGGAUUUUCUCGAAAUCCGUGCGUCAAACUCAAAAUCCGUCAGCGCCACUAGUUCCAGAACAGCUGAACCGGUCGAAACGAGCUAUAGGACUGAUAUGAACGGAGUCCGAUACGCACCAGAAGCCCACUCUACUCCGUGGCUUUUCCGGAAAACCAGAGUUACUAUUCACUUAAGUGAAAACUAAUAAUCGCGUAACUUCUCCGUUUUAGCUCAUUUUCUCCUGAAACUUGACGAGUGCUUAUGUAAUUAAAUUACACACAUAAACAUCAUCAACAGAGAGUUUAGUUGCACUGUCAAAAAUCUCAGUCCUUACAUCAUCCCCCCCUUAAAAGAAGUUUCGUCCUCGAAACUUAACCACGUACCCACCGUAAACAAACUCUGACAUUGCUCCACCAAUGCAGUAACACCUUUGGAUACUGGUCAGUCACAAUUCUAGAAUUGGACAGAUCAAUCUCAGAAAAGGGGAGAAUAGGACUGCGGUUCCACAAGAACAAGACGAGGGAAACGUACCAAACCAAAGUCUGCGGACCAUAACACACCGGGAUCAACACCAUCCUAUAACCUUGGUCCGAAAAGCCUCAACCGACUCGACCACGUCACUAAGUUCACGAGAAGAAUCACGAGCCAACAACACCAAACUGGAGUCUAAUUACCUAGAUCGGAGCAAAAAUAUUUUCGACUAGCCAACAAUAACAACUUGCUCACCACGAACCAAAACGAAACGUUCUCCUAAAACUCGACGGUAGAAACAGCCUCUGAGACUACAGUCUCCCACUAACCGAUCACGCAACUGCCGAAGUCAAGUCCACAUCCACGGGAAGCCGCCUUUGACGUUCGACAGUCUUAGGUCCCACAACCUCACCUUUCACCUGACCGAAAAGGUCGAAGGCUGACAAAACUAAUUGAGCUCGAAAAUUUUGUCCCCCCAAACUUAAUUCGGUACCAACAGAACACCAAAAAUUCUUUGCAAGUCCAUUACUUGAUGCACAGGUCGCAAAUCACAAAUACGAUACAAAUCUCGGUGAUGCUCAACACCUGUCUCUACGAGGCCCUGUCGCUGCCGUCCUACAAGGGACCCAAGCGAUCGAUGUUCCGAGCAACACCAAAUGUCUGUCUCCUUGAGACCCAGGCGCACCUGUCAUCAAAUAGCCGGACAAGCAUACUAACCUAAGGUUUGCACGAUAAACCAAGUCGCAAACCUUUUACGCUAUCACUUAUGGUGACAAUAAAAGCCAACAACCAGGCUCAAGUCACUCCACAUUGAUUCCGAACCUCUCGACAAUAGACCGAGACUACUAACCAAACAAACCUUUUAGUUGUAACAGGUACGACUAAAGAGCUAACAAGCACCCAGACUUGAACCUACAUCCGAAUCAUCAGCAGUGACGAUAAGUCAACUGCGCAAAACCUACCAAGAGAAUACAAGGCCCCACUACGUGGUCAAUAAUGACCGAUACCCAAUCAUCCUUACAAGACUAUCUCUCUAGCUUUCACACAAAACAGUCUAGAGAACACAUCGACCCAAUCCAUAAGUCCCAAAUGGGAAGAUGGUAUUUCGUUCCUCUUUCGACAGUAUAUUGUCUGCAGCCAAUAUACUUAUCAAAAGAAAAGCGAAAUAUCCGAAGAUCCACUACCAACAACCAGUUGGAAGUACAACGCGAUAAAGUAUCAAGCCACUUGAUACCUCUCUACUGAACCAGAAGCUCACAACCAUUACUAUCGAAACAUCGACUUUACAAGUCGACAUUCGAAAUUAGAACGACCCUAGAACAUCUCGAAUCUAGACCCAUUUACAACUAAUCCACAACACACCAAUUUGGGUGUUAGAAUAACCGCAUACUAUGUAUGCCUUAACGAAAACAUGACACCAAAACUGUGUCAAUUCGACUCUAGUAGGAAGAAUGAACGAGUUN
rnacentral:lncRNA from 1 species